UCAGAUGGCCGGGCAGUCGCUGGACAUGGGGUAAUCCGUGUCUGGAGGAAAGUCCGGGCUCCAUAGAGACAAGGCGGCGGAUAAUGUCCGCCCGGUGUGAACCGAGGGAAAGUGCCACAGAGAGCAGACCGCCCCUUAUAGAGGGGUAAGGGUGAAAGGGUGGGGUAAGAGCCCACCGGGGAUCUGGUAACAGAGCCCGCACGGUAAACCCCGCCUGGAGCAAGACCAAAUAGGGGAUGCAUAUGAGCUGUCUUUGGUUCGCAUCCCGGGUGUGUCGCAUCAGGCAUCGUGUGAACGGUGUCGCAGAGGAAUGACUGCCGAUCCGGCGCUCCGAAAGGGUCCGGUGAACAGAACCCGGCUUAUAGGCCAUCUGAUCGA
rnacentral:RNase_P_RNA from 1 species